AGAAACGAAGUAGUGAUGCAGAGUAAAACUCAAAAAACGGUCUCAGUUCGGAUUGAAGGCUGAAAUUCGCCUUCAUGAAGCUGGAAUUGCUAGUAAUGGCAGGUCAGCAUACUGCCGUGAAUACGUUCCCGGGCCUUGUACACACCGCCCGUCACACCAUGAGAGUUGGAGAUACCCGAAGCCUGUGAGCUAACUUUUUAAGAGGCAGCAGUCGAAGGUAGAAUCAAUGAUUGGGGUGAAGUCGUAACAAGGUAAC
rnacentral:rRNA from 1 species